AAAAUUGAUUCUGUCACUUCUGUGACAUUCUGUGCUGCAGAAGGAACUAAUCAUCUUAUACCUCUGCUUAGAAAUGUUUGCCUGGCCUGGUUGGCUCAGUCGGUGGAGCAUGUGACUCUUGAUCUCACGGUCGUGAUUUCGAGCCACACGUUGAGCAUGGAGACUACUAAAAAAAAGAAAAAGAAAUGAGAAAUGUCUGCCUCAGUAAGGUCAUAUGAUACGAGAAAGAAACAUGAUAAAAACAAGACAUGAUUGAGAGACUCUACAUUGAGGACAUUAAAAAAUUUUUUUUAACGUUUAUUCAUUUUUGACAGAGACAGAGCAUUAGCAGGGAAGGCAUAGAGAGAGAGGGAGACACAGAAUGUGAAGCAGGCUGCAGGCUCUGAGCUCUCUCAGCACAGAGCCCGAUGUAAGGCUCGAACCCAUAAACCGCGAGAUCAUGACCCGAGCCAAAGUUGGACCCUCAGCCAACUGAGCCACCCAGGUGCCCCUAAAACAGUUUAGAUAAGAACUAUAGCAAUGAGGGAUUUUUCUUCAUUUUUUUGCUUUAUUUUAAAAUGUAUCGUAAGGAGGCAAAAGAGAACUGGGUUGGUAGUAGAGUGUUUCUGAUUCACUACAAGCCUGUCCUUUAGAUACUCUGGAAUAAUUAUUAGAAAUAGAAAGAUAAAAAAUACUGCUAUCAUGCUUACACCCAUUCCAAGUGCCCAAAAGGGUCUGACUCAUAGGGGAAGGUCACAUUUCUCAAGUUUAAGCAAUCAAAGUAAAAAGCCUUUGACUGUUUCUUCCUUAAAAGUGGUCUGAACAAUUUAAUUUGGAGGGCACCUGUGUGGCUCAAUCGGUUGAGCUUCUGACCCUUGAUUUCUGCUCAGGUCAUGAUCUCAUUAUUCAUGAGUCUCUGGGCUGACAGCAUGGAGCCUGCUUGGGAUUCUCUCUCUCCCUCUCUCUCUCUGUCCCUUCCCCACUGGCUUGCUCACCUUCUCUCUCUCUCCCUCAAAAUAAAUAAAUAAACUUGAAAAAACCUUUAAUUUGGAAAGGGAAUAUGGAGGAUUUUAAACGGAGAGAUUUACAGUAUUUUUCAGCAGAACAACUGUGAUUAGAAAGGUUUUUUUUAAGGCAAAUGUAUAAAAAUAUACCUUCUGCAGGACAACGUUCUUUAAAAAACUGAUGAUAUAAAAUUAACAAGGAGUGGGGCACCUUUGUGGCUCAGUCAGUUGAGCAUCCAAACUCUAGCUUGGGUCAUGAUUUCAUGGUUCAUGAGUUCUGAUGAGGGAGCGUGGGGCAAGCUGACAGCCAAGUACAGGGUAACAGCACCGCCCCCCCCCCCCCCAGGAGUAUGUGUGCUAUUCCUCGGACACUCCUGGCUGCCCAAGGACAGGGAAAAGGAAAGAAAGCAGAUAGCUGGCCGAUAGAGAUGACAGUCAUGCAGGACAGGAGUCUCCUUCAGUUCACGGAUAACUUAGAAAACUGCAAGAAAAAGGCAAUCUUCUCCAUAGCCUAAUCUCCAGAAACCUAUAGACUCCGUUUCCUAGAGCGCUAAUACCACCCUCACCAAGAUGGAAGGGGGUUUAAGUGCCAGCCAUGAUGAUGUGGGAAACUAAGGCAAGUGAGAAAGUAAAUUCCCUUACUGCCUACAGCCCACUGACAAGUCCUUGAGGCCAGCAGAGUGACCUCCCUCUAGGAGCUCAGCUGCCUCGAUGAUGACACUUUGCUAGGGGCAAAAGGCAAUCUUGGGUUAACAUUAUCCUGACACCCCAGGAUCCUGUAAGUCUACUGUACCAUAUAAAAAUUCCUUUGGAAACUUCCUUUAUCUCAACUCCCCAGAGAUAUAUGCUGGCAAUCAUACUCCAGGCUUCUGGCCCCUGAUAUACAUCUGAGGGGUCUCAUGACUGAAGUUUUACUAAAUGGUAAUACAUUGCAUUUUCCUACCAGCAGCUGGCCCCUCAAGAUCCUGGAAACCUUCCUUCCAAAAUUCCUUAGAAACUUAUGCUGUUCCUGACCCCCCUCCUAACCUGAGGGUAUCUAAUCAGUUACUCAUCACAACCCCAGUGCAGCUCUUUUGCCCACGGGUCCUGUCCCCGUGCUUUCAUAAAAUGACCUUUUUGCACCGAAGAUGUCUUCAAGAAUUCUUUCUUGGCCAUCAGCUGUGAAUCCCAACAUCACCCCAAGACCUCACCAAAACCAUCAGACACGCUGGGCUUUGUCCCGCACUGCUUCUCCCCGGGCAGACAUCUGGUGAGGACACUGCCUGGAAAGAAGGUAGAGGCUUCAGCCUCUGGGGGAGACGGAGCCUCAGGGAGGCUCACCUGAGGAAGAGGACGGGCGUGCUCCCGGAGGAGGCGGCACAACACCUCCCUGAUGGUGAUGAGAAGUGACCCUCUGCUUUGCUGUAACCACCCACAGUAAUAAAGACAGAAAAGAACCCCCACCAUCAUCCCAAAACUUCAUCAUAUGGUGCCCAGCUUGGGGCUACAAAUCCUUCCAUCUGGACUCUGAGCUGGUGCAAACCCGGAGGAGCAUGGGAGCAUCUCUUCGGUCCCCAAGGGUUCUCCUUUGAGAUGCCUUUUAACCACUGGAAACAAUUUGGAUUGCAAAAUGUAGACAAGGACUGAUCUCCUGUAACACUGCAUGGCCUUAAACAGGGCAAAGGAACACAAGAGAUGCUGGAUGGUGACUAACUUAUCGUGGUAAUCACCUCACGACGUAUGUAAGUCACAUUAUUAUGCUGAACCCCUUAAACUUAUACAGGGCUGUGUAUCAAUUGUAUCUGAAUAAAAAGGGGGAAAUUUUUCUUCAAGAAUUCAUGCGUCGAGUUUGGAGACGGAGGAGAACAAGAUGUCUUUUUUCUGAUUUGUUUCCUGUGGCUCCUUUUCCCUUCAGAACUCCAUUGAGAGAGCACUAGGCAAGCCCGGGGGGCAGAAAUCAACUCAGCCAAAUUCACCAAACUGAAGGGUUUCUUUUCCUGAGCUUUGCUUUGCCGGCCUGACAAAGCAGAGAGGCCCGGGCCUCCCAAGCCCUGGCCAGACCUGCCUGGGAGCCCCGUGCCCUGUCUCCGGGGCCCGCUUCGUCCGGCUGCCUGUCUGGCCUCCCCAGGUCCACCUGUGCUCGACCUUUCCAUCUCAAACCUACUCACACUCUCUGCAGCAAGGCUAAUAAACCCACUCUGAGUUUUCCUUUUCUGCUUUAUUUUCUCCUUAUUCUAUUUUUUUUCUCCAAAUUAUCCUUUGAUACAAUUUAGGGUUUUCUAUGGUCACAAACAAUCCUCCCUUGAUCCAUGGACCCACAGAUCAGCCAUCACUGACUAAGCCAAUGAAAAAGUAUUUGGAAUUAAUACAUGGAAGAAUCCAGCCUGAGGUAAUAGCCAGCCCCCAUCAGUGACAAGUUCCAGACAAGGUCUUCAGCAUAGGUCACAAAAAGGAAGAUAAAAAUUUGAGGUGUUAGAAAUUUCUCAGAACUUUGACUCUUGCAUUUGGUAGUUACAGAAUUUUGAAUGUGACCGAUAUCCCUAAGGCAUAAUUCUCCCCUAACAUUUCUACCUUUGUUAGGUGGGUGGAACUUUGCUUGAAAUUGUUGGUUUUUUAAUUUUUUUUAACGUUUAUUUAUUUUUGAGACAGAGAGAGACAGAGCAUGAAUGGGGGAGGGUCAGAGAGAGAGGGAGACACAGAAUCUGAAACAGGCUCCAGGCUCUGAGCCAUCAGCACAGAGCCUGACGCGGGGCUUGAACUCACAAACCACGAGAUCAUGACCUGAGCCGAAGUCGGACGCUUAACUGACUGAGACACCCAGGCGCCCCUGCUUCAAAUUGUUUUUUAUAGUCUGUUUCCUCUAACCUUCAAGGUACUCCUCGCUGUUUUAAGAAUUAAAAUCGACAGGA